GGUGGUUCUGGAGUGAUGCACCCCAGAAUCAGGUUCCCUCCUCUCUGGUUCCGGGUGCAUCACCUGAGAACGGCA
rfam:Myotis davidii contig182281, whole genome shotgun sequence.